rnacentral:rRNA from 1 species
ACGGGAGGCAGCAGUGGGGAAUCUUCCGCAAUGGGCGAAAGUCUGAACCAGCCAAGUCGCGUGAAGGAAGAAGGUUCUAUGGAUUGUAAACUUCUUUUGUUCGAGGGUAAAGUGAGAGAUGCGUCUCUUAUUGCAAGUAUCGGACGAAUAAGCAUCGGCUAACUCCGUGCCAGCAGCCGCGGUAAUACGGAGGAUGCGAGCGUUAUCCGGAUUUAUUGGGUUUAAAGGGUGCGUAGGUGGAUGAUUAAGUCAGUGGUGAAAGCGUGCGGCUCAACCGUACCGAGCCAUUGAAACUGGUUAUCUUGAGUGUAAACGAGGUAGGCGGAAUGUGACAUGUAGCGGUGAAAUGCAUAGAGAUGUCACAGAACCCCGAUUGCGAAGGCAGCUUACCAGCAUACGACUGACGCUGAUGCACGAAAGCGUGGGUAUCAAACAGGAUUAGAGACCCUGGGA